rnacentral:rRNA from 1 species
CCUACGGGAGGCAGCAGUGGGGGAUAUUGCACAAUGGGGGAAACCCUGAUGCAGCGACGCCGCGUGGGUGAAGUAGUCCUUCGUGAUGUAAAGCUCUAUCAGCAGGGAAGAAAAUGACGGUACCUGAAUAAGAAGCCCCGGCUAACUACGUGCCAGCAGCCGCGGUAAUACGUAGGGGGCAAGCGUUAUCCGGAUGUACUGGGUGUAAAGGGAGCGUAGACGGCGGUGCAAGUCUGGAGUGAAAGGCGGGGGCUCAACCCCCGGACUGCUCCUGGAACUGUACGGCUGGAGUGCAGGAGAGGGGAGUGGAAUUCCUGGUGUAGCGGUGAAAUGCGUAGAGAUCAGGAGGAACACCAGUGGCGAAGGCGGCUUACUGGACUGUAACUGACGUUGAGGCUCGAAAGCGUGGGGAGCAAACAGGAUUAGAUACCCCAGUAGUC